ACAUAAAGUAUGUGUUCCUCCAUUGUUCAGUGGCAUGCUCCAACUCUACAUGAUGGAAUGUACAUUCUGUUUGUUUGGUGCCUUUUUCCUUCAGAUUUCUGAUCUCUUUUAAGUGUGUUUUUAUUUAUCUUGGUCUGCUAGUGAGGACUCAGCUCUAGUGUACAGAUCAAAGCAUUUCCUCUCACUUUGAUCUCUUGUUGAGGAAGCAGGCAUGUCGCAUGUCCUAAAGUGAGGGGCUAGACAAAGCCUCGCUCUUCCUUCAUCCAUUCUGUGGUUUGGGGUCUCAGGGGUAAUACAUGUUGAUUCCCUAACUCAAUCAUUCAGCUGUUUCACAGCUACAGAGAACAGAGACACCUCUAAGGGAAUGCUAUUAUCCACCCUUCAUAGAGGUCACACAGACCUGGGAUCAAGCACUUCCUUGAAACCUACACUUAAUCUUAAUUUUGAACAUGUCAGUGUUGAUUUCCAGAUGCUAGCCCAGCCCACAGGAUGAAGAUUUCCACACCCCGCUAGAACUUUAAUGGCACCUAACAGUUUACCUUGAUUCCACUCCUUCAGUUCAGCAACUAUUUACCCUGGAGAAACAGAUAAUCCAGAGCUGACAAUGCAACAGGCUUCAGUGGAAGACAUUUUGCCAAGUCCUUUAACUGUGCCCUGAAAUUAACACACCAAUCCAAAAUCCAGUUCCUGCAAGUAACUUCUCCAGGAAGAGCUACAGCGAUGGGGCAGAUACUGAGAACCUUUGCUCUACAGACAUAUUUUCAUAGCUACGUGUCGCUAGUCAAGCACGCGCAUUUGGAUAUUCACCCGGGACACACGGGCACCAUCAGUGCACCUGCAUCCUCCAGUCUGUCCCGCGUGUGCUCAUCGACUGGUUCAGUGAAAAAACUGUCCCCAGAUUUGAGGUUAAUGAAGGAAGCGAAAAGACUGACAUUCAUCUGAUUAAAGCAAAAAUUCCAAAAAUACACAGUUUGUUUUAUAUGUAUACAUACAUAGUUAUAGAUUUCAUAUGUGAAAACAUGCAGGAGAAGACAUGAAUCUUCGAAAUCAAGUAUACAGAUACACAGGAAGACGUAUAUGUGUAUGCAGACAGGUAGGUCUGAAAUACUGGAUAAAAAUCACAGUAUUGUUUGAUGUUACACUCACCAGUGAAUAUGUUGCAAUAGAGAUGAUACAUUAUCUAGUUGGUUUGUAAAUGAAUAAUAGUUUUAGAAAACUAAGAUGACUUAAGAACCAGCUGGGCCCACAUAACUAUCUCUGUUAAACAAUUCGAUGUAUUCUAUUUGGAGACAUUUUUGUGAAUAAAAAGUUCAUUUAUAAAAUUUCUUUAAGUGAAUAAUUGGGAUUAGUUGGAAAUCAUUUCCAUGAAUUCUCCUAUUAAAUAUGAAGCGAUCAUUUCACCAGCCCAGA